AUUGAACGCUGGCGGCAGGCUUUACACAUGCAAGUCGAACGGUUGCAGGCCUCCUGCUGCUGACUUGUGGCGCAGGGGUGAGUAUUGUAUCUAAACGUGCCCAGAGUAGGGGGAGAUCGCGUCGAAAACUGUGCUCAAAUCCCACGUGCUCUGUGGGUGAAAGCGGGGGGGCACGCAGCACGUUUUGCCAUCGCGCCUUCGGAGCGCGCGAUGGCUGAUUAGGUAGUUGGUGGGGUAAAGGCCUACCAAGCCGACGAUCUGUAGCUGGUCUGAGAGGACGACCAGCCACACUGGGACUGAGACACGGCCCAGACUCCUACGGGAGGCAGCAGUGGGGAAUUUUGGACAAUGGGCGCAAGCCUGAUCCAGCAAUGCCGCGUGCGGGAAGAAGGCCUUCGGGUUGUAAACCGCUUUUGUACGGAACGAAAAGGCUCUGGCUAAUACCUGGGGCUGAUGACGGUACCGUAAGAAUAAGCACCGGCUAACUACGUG
rnacentral:rRNA from 1 species